rnacentral:rRNA from 1 species
AACGAACGCUGGCGGCGUGCUUAACACAUGCAAGUCGAGUGCGCGUACCGUAGCAAUACGGUAUGGCGCACGGCGCACGGGUGCGUAACACGUGGGCAAUCUGCCCUUCGAUGGGGAAUAACUCCGGGAAACCGAAGCUAAUUCCGCAUAACAUUCCUUGGACUUCGGUUCGAGGACUCAAAGCCGCAAGGCGUCGAAGGAGGAGCCCGCGCCCGAUUAGCUAGUUGGUGAGGUAACGGCUCACCAAGGCAAUGAUCGGUAGCUGGUCUGAGAGGAUGGCCAGCCACACUGGAACUGAGACACGGUCCAGACUCCUACGGGAGGCAGCAGUGGGGAAUCUUGCGCAAUGGGCGAAAGCCUGACGCAGCGACGCCGCGUGGGGGAUGAAGCAUUUCGGUGUGUAAACCCCUUUCGACUGGGACGAAUACCUCGCAAGAGGGGUGACGGUACCAGUAGAAGAAGCCCCGGCUAACUACGUGCCAGCAGCCGCGGUAAGACGUAGGGGGCCAGCGUUGUUCGGAAUUACUGGGUGUAAAGGGUUCGUAGGCGGUGUGGCAAGUCGGGAGUGAAAUCUAUGGGCUUAACCCAUAGGCUGCUUCCGAAACUGCCGUGCUUGAGUGUGGGAGAGGCGCGUGGAAUUGCAGGUGUAGCGGUGAAAUGCGUAGAUAUCUGCAGGAACACCCGUGGCGAAAGCGGCGCGCUGGACCACUACUGACGCUGAGGAACGAAAGCUAGGGGAGCAAACAGGAUUAGAUACCCUGGUAGUCCUAGCCCUAAACGAUCAGGACUUGGGGUGCCACCCGUUCGGGUGUCGUCCCGGAGCUAACGCGUUAAGUCCUGCACCUGGGGGAGUACGGUCGCAAGACUGAAACUCAAAGGAAUUGACGGGGGCCCCCACAAGCGGUGGAACAUGUGGUUCA